CAAGGGCCUAUCCCCUGCUCAGGGAGGCUGUUCUUCCAUGACAGAUGUCUGCCUGUGGGCCGACUAAUCAUGAAGAGGCCCAUCCAGAGUCACCUGAACCUCGAGAGCCAAUAAAAGAAAAGAAGCGGUUUUGGCGGGAAGGGUUGAGGUCACGCUGCUUGCCCAUUUCUGCCAAGGUCUUUCUCUCUACAUUUUACAACCAUUUUCUGCUUUCAUGGCCACUUCUCCCAUCAGUGCAUCAGGGACAGAACUUGUGUCAUGAAGCAUGACUCACAUCGAGAUAUUUACGACUAAAACUUGGCUACUGCAGGCAACCCUGUGUAUGGGUCUCGACUAAAGGGAAUAAAUAACUGGUACUUGUUGGGUU